GUCAGGUAGGUCUGGGUUAGUAGUUGCAUCGCCAAGCGUGGGGCGUGGGGCUGGGGCUCGCGACUUCCGUGCUGGUGAAAGCCACGGCAAUAUCUUCCUAAUUCCCAAAGAGGUUGAGAGUUGCCUGUUAUUUCGUAAACAUUUCCAUCAACACAUCGAUUUUGUUUUGAAGCACGCUCUCCCUCGAACAGCACUGAGCACAAACCUUGACGCAGUCAAGAUUUGAACACCUGGAAUAGCUCCGUGCCAGCGCCAAGGCCUAUACCUAUAUAGACCUUGGUCAAUCCUUGUGGAAGUUUGGACCGACACAGGUUUUUUCCAGUUGAAGCACUACGUCCGGCAGGGUAGACGGAGAUGGCUUAGGGUCCUGGGCGUAAAGAAUGCCAGUUGACCCGCGCCUUAAAAUUUCCCAUGAAAGACACAAAAGCAAGAGCUCACCUUGGACAGAUCAACGCUGACAUCCAAGUAAUGGUCAAGGAAGUUGGCAUUCUGCUCAGGGUCUAGAAGCUCCAAGAGAGCAGCUGAUGGAUCACCCUGGUAACCU